rnacentral:misc_RNA from 1 species
CAUCGAAACUUCGAACGCAUCUUGCGCUCCCGGGAUAUGCCUGGGAGCAUGCUUGUCGGGGAGGAGGAGGCGAAAACUCGCCCACAGCUUUGGGUUCGAUCUCGACCUCAAGGCGGUGGAGCGGAAUAUGAGUGUUCCGGGGAGCGGUAGUGCGGUGUGUAUUUUGUACAUGCCUCCUGCUCGUCCCCUGAGUCCACCCAAGCCUAGAGAGCUACCGAUUGUCCGGGCMYCRUUGNCUUUGCGGCGCUGUANACAGGUCCACCUUGCGUCCUCCGGAAGAUMCNNNGUUGAUACCUUNNCAACCUCGCCCCCUCUCNCGGGGCGGGGCAGGGCGGAGGAGACACUGACGCCSGGGAUGUGCGCGGGUUACCUUGAGGCGUCGCA